rnacentral:rRNA from 1 species
AAUCAACGUUGGCGGCGCGCCUAACACAUGCAAGUCGAACGAGAAAGUGGAGCAAUCCAUGAGUACAGUGGCGUACGGGUGAGUAACACGUGGGUAAUCUGCCUGUUAGUGGGGAAUAACCCUGGGAAACCGGGGCUAAUACCGCAUAAGUUCGCAAGAAGAAAGUCGCAAGACGCUGACAGAGGAGCCCGCGGCCGAUUAGCUAGUUGGCAGGGUAAAAGCCUACCAAGGCGACGAUCGGUAGCCGGCCUGAGAGGGCACACGGCCACACUGGCACUGAAACACGGGCCAGACUCCUACGGGAGGCAGCAGUGGGGAAUCUUGCACAAUGGGGGAAACCCUGAUGCAGCGACGCCGCGUGAGUGAUGAAGCCCUUCGGGGUGUAAAGCUCUUUCGACGGGAACGAUUAUGACGGUACCCGGAGAAGAAGCUGCGGCUAACUACGUG